rnacentral:rRNA from 1 species
AUGGCGGACGCCAGCCCGCAGGCGGAGAGGCCGAGGCUGAGGCGCCUGGGGUUCGUGCACGUGGUGGCGGUGCAGGCGGCCGUGUGCAUCGCGGCGCUCUACGCGCUCGCCAGGGACCACUCCGGCUCGCUUCGCCCCAGAGUCGACGCCGUCGAGUCCGCCGUCAGGCGCGUCGCCGGCCCCGUCGCCCGCCGCCUCCACGGCGUCCCCCUCCACGUCCUCGCCUUCGUCGACCACAAGGUGGACGACGCGGUGCAGGAGCUGGGCCGGCACCUCCCGCCGGCGGUGAAGUCCGCGUCGGCGCAGGCGUGCCACGCGGUCCACGCCGUGCCGGAGCUGGCCAGGGAGAUCGCCGACGGGGCGAGGCGGUCCGGCGUGAAGGGCGUGGCCAAGGACGUGUACGGCAUGGUCCAGCCGGUGGCCAAGGGCCUCUACGUGCGCUGCGAGCCGGUGGCCAAAGACCUGUACGUGCGCUACGAGCCGGCGGCCGAGCACCUCGCCGUCUCCGCCUGGCGCUCGCUCAACGGGCUGCCGGUGUUCCCGCAGGUGGCGCAGGUCGUCGUGCCCACCGCCGCCUACUGGUGCGAGAAGUACAACAGGGUGAUCUCGUUCGCGGCCGGGCGGGGGUUCCCCGGCGCACGGUUCCUCCCCGGCAUCCCCAUCGAGCGCAUCGCCAAGGUGUUCGGGACGAGCCCGACAGGCGAGCGCUCGCCGGAUGCCAAGCCGACGGGACUUGAUGCCCAGACUUCCGAGGAGCGCUCGCCGGAUGCCAAGCCGACGGGACUUGAUGCCCAGACUUCCGAGGAGCGCUCGUCCGAUGCCAAGCCGACGGGACAUGAUGCCCAGACCUCCGAGGAGCGCUCGGCCGAUGCCAAGCCUAUGGGACUUGAUGCCAAGACCGAGGAGGAGAGCUCGCCUGAUGCCAAGCCCGUGGAAUCUGAUGCCCAGACCGCCGGGGAGAGCCAGCCGGAGGCGGCCAAGACUAUGGAUCUUGGGGCCCAGGCCUAG